GUCCACGCCGUAAACGUUGUGCACUAGGUGUAGGAGGUAUCGACCCCUUCUGUGCCGCAGCUAAUGCAUUAAGUGCACCGCCUGGGGAGUACGCGCGCAAGCGUGAAACUCAAAGGAAUUGACGGGGGCCCGCACAAGCGGUGGAGCAUGUGGUUUAAUUCGAGGCAACGCGAAGAACCUUACCCAGGCUUGACAUCCCGCGCUACCCUUGGAAACAAGGGGGUUCCCUUCGGGGACGCGGAGACAGGUGUUGCAUGGCUGUCGU
rnacentral:rRNA from 1 species